GUUCAUUGAACUCUCCUAACCUAUUUUCCUGACCGUCCGAUUAAUAUCGGAGGGUCAUGAGAUAGUCCAUUUUCCUUUAUAUAGUUGAAUCCCUAGCCUAAACCUAAAUUCUAGGGAUCCUACCCUAGCGCCGCCAGCCACUCUCUCACGGGAUCCCCACCAAAUCCACCUGCAUCCUCCCUCGAAUUCCCCAACCUGCCAACCACCUCUCCAUCGAUCCCCGGAUCUGCAGCAUCCAGCCCGCUGCGCUCGUGCGUGAGCACCCGAGGGGCCUCGCCCGCGCGUCCUCUGCUGCACUGUCACCGAAGACCGCACCAGCAGGCCCCGUGUGCUCCGUCCCUCUGCUCACCCACGCCGAACGCCUCGACCUCCUCCUCAGCCGGCGAGCAGAUCCGUCGGACCGCAAGAAGCACCCCGUUGCGCUCCCUCUCCUCUCUUCCUAACCAGGAGACCGACGCCGUGAUGAGACUACAGUCGUGUCGCUGAUGUCCGCGUCCAGACCACGAGCCCCAGAGGAGAUCUGAGGGAUGCCCGAGCCAUGGAGAUGAGCCGCCAUGGAAGGGUUGCCCCGCCGUUGGUGCCUCCAGCCCUGUAGGAGUGUCACUUUUGGCUAGAUCUGUUGCCUCCCACCGUUCCUCUCGUCGACUCAGCCCCGCCUUGGCCUGUCGAAGCCGCCAACUCCUGCUGCUGUGGCAUCCUGUACCACGCGAAGCCGGCGCACAUGUGUCCCGCUCACUCGAACGCGUGAGCUCAAGGGAAACACAAACCUUCCAGCGGGCCGGCUUCCCAGCUCCCCCGCUGGCCUGAUCUGGCUCGAGGUGAGACUUCACCUCCGCGUCAUGCCUUGGGAGGUUGAAGCCCCACAUUGCCGGAAUCCAAUCCUAGCUCAGCUGAUUAGCCAUGCUCUGUCUCACCCAGUAGACCAGGGUUCAAAUCCCUAGUUACACAUAUUGUGUUUCCCACCAUAUUAGUAUGUUUUCUGCACUUUUGUUACAGCUAAUCUUGCAUAUUUGGAUUAUAUGCCACUCAUUUAAAAUGCAUGCAUCUUUUAAA